GCGACGGGCGAUAUGUACAUAUCGAUAUAAAAUAUCAAAAAAACUAAUUAUUUCUCUUUUACUCCCUAAUCCAACCUUCACAUUUCAUUAGACAUUUCAACUAACUUUACAGUUUCAUAUUACAAUAUAAAAGUAACUCAUCUAAACCUAUAAAAAUCUACAUUUUGACUUGAAUUUUUUAUUUAAAAAUUAACCUCAUUUAUUUAAAUAAUAAAUAAUAAAUUAAACAGCAAUACAUAAAAAAAAUUAUAGAUAAAAUUUAAUGAGUAAUAUCAAAUUAAAUAGACAAGUUCCUCAGAAUUUAACCAAAUACCGCCAAUACUUCUAAAAUUCAUAUAUGAAAAUCAAAUAAAAUCUUGAUAAUAUUUUUCAUUAAAAUAAUAGGGUAUCUAA
rnacentral:rRNA from 1 species